UACGUAGGGUGCGAGCGUUGUCCGGAAUUACUGGGCGUAAAGAGCUCGUAGGUGGUUUGUCGCGUUGUCCGUGAAAACUCACAACUCAAUUGUGGGCGUGCGGGCGAUACGGGCAGACUGGAGUACUGCAGGGGAGACUGGAAUUCCUGGUGUAGCGGUGAAAUGCGCAGAUAUCAGGAGGAACACCGGUGGCGAAGGCGGGUCUCUGGGCCGAUACUGACGCUGAGGAGCGAAAGCGUGGGGAGCAAAUAGG
rnacentral:rRNA from 1 species